rnacentral:rRNA from 1 species
GAACGCGAAGAACCUUACCCACCUUUGACAUGGCAGGAAGUUUCCAGAGAUGGAUUCGUGCCCGAAAGGGAACCUGCACACAGGUGCUGCAUGGCUGUCGUCAGCUCGUGUCGUGAGAUGUUGGGUUAAGUCCCGCAACGAGCGGAACCCUUGUCCUUAGUUGCUAACGGGUAAGCCGAGCUCUCUAGGGAGACUGCCCGCGAAAGCGGGAGGAAGGCGGGGAUGACGUCUAGUCCGCAUGGCCCUUACGGCCUGGGCGACACACGUGCUACAAUGCCCGGCACAGAGCGCUGCCACAUCGCAAGAUGGAGCGAAUCGCCUAAAUCCGGGCUCAGUUCGGAUUGGGGUCUGCAACCCGACCCCAUGAAGCUGGAAUCGCUAGUAAUCGCGGAUCAGCCAUGCCGCGGUGAAUACGUUCCCGGGUCUUGUACACACC